GUUUUAAUUCUCUAACAGGCUCUUCAUUAUCUGUGAUUUGCAUUUUUUGAGUAAUUUUGUUCGUCGAGAUGGCGAUUAAUGGUAACGAAUAGAGGAAGAUAUGAAAAUGGAAGAAUGCAAAGCGACGGCAGUGUAUAUGUGCGGUUAUCUUCCCGGAGUUUCCCCGGAGAAAUCGCCGAUACUCUCUCUGGUUCCAGUACCUCUUCCGGCAUCAUCAAGUCACUGCGGUGAUUCAUGGAAGGAUGUUUGCGGUGGUGGAUGUGGAUUUGCCAUGGCCAUUUCAGGAUCCGGAAAGCUCGUAACUUGGGGUUCGACAGAUGAUGAAGGUCAAAGCUAUAUGACUUCUGGGAAGCAUGGGGAGAUACCAGAGCCUUUUCCUCUUCCACAUGAAGCUUCAGUAGUGAAGGCUGCGGCUGGCUGGGCG
rnacentral:misc_RNA from 1 species